GUGGGGAAUAUUGCGCAAUGGGCGAAAGCCUGACGCAGCAACGCCGCGUGGAGGAUGAAGGUUUUAGGAUCGUAAACUCCUGUUAAGUGGGAAGAAAUGCUUAAGUUUAAUACGCUUAAGAGAUGACGGUACCAUUAGAGAAAGCACCGGCUAACUUCGUGCCAGCAGCCGCGGUAAUACGAGGGGUGCUAACGUUAUUCGGAUUUACUGGGCGUAAAGGGUGUGUAGACGGUUUGUUAAGUCCAUUGUUAAAUCUCCCGGCCUAACCGGGAAUCUGCAGUGGAUACUGAUAGACUUGAGGAUGGAAGAGAGAAGUGGAAUUCUCGGAGUAGCGGUAAAAUGCGUAGAUCUCGAGAGGAACACCAAUGGCGAAGGCAGCUUCUUGGUCCAUUCCUGACGUUGAGACACGAAAGCGUGGGGAGCAAACAGG
rnacentral:rRNA from 1 species